UCGAUUUUCCGGUGGAGAACUUUCUUCGUGGUGUGAGGCACCGAGACAUGGCGGCCGCUCAGCCGGGGCGAACAAAAAAAGUAGCGAUCGGAAGAAAGUUACGAAGACUAUGUCGGGACCACAUUUCCGGGACACCCGCGUCACGUUAUCGCGAUACUUCUUUUCGAGAGUGAACGACGUAGUAGCGUAGUUUGUCUUUUUGUUCCUUUUUCCUCGCCGUCGACUCAUGAAUUCUUCGUGGCGUGAGUGUAUUGUACGAUGGAAAAUGGCGGCUGACCACGUGUGUUGUUCAGUAGAUGUGUGACGUAGUGAAGUUGAGAGUUUAGUGAUCUUUUGUAUGCAAUGACCGUUCGAGUUGUCCCGGUUGGCUUAUUCGGCAAUACGAUUCGGAGCUUGCACGCGUGUUCCGGCCGGACAUCACCUUCCAUGGCACGAGAAUCAUCGGCCACAUUUAAUGAUACACCUUACACGGACGUAAGGUGGCGUCGGAUCCACAUGGCGUCCGUCUCGACGGUGCUAUGAAAGGGACCGCGAAAGCAGAUCGAGCAAUCGUAAACGCAUUUUCCAAAGGAGAGAAUGCACGCGGUUGCUGGAGGUUACGUAAACGCGCGGUGAUCAUCGACGAAUAUCUUUUCAUCAAAGGACUUCUCAUGUAUCGCAAAUUGGACGGAGCGAAGAAUUAUCUAUCACCAGCUGUCGCAAGUAUUGGCAUCGCGCCGAACCGUACAAAACUUGGAAGCCCAACCAGACUGCAGCGUUUACGACUUGAGAGUCGGACAAUAAUUGUCGCUUGAGAACCGAUCGUUUGUGGAUACCUGCGAAUUUAUGCUGUCUGCCCGACUACGAAGGACAUCGCUGGGCUUGGAAAUAACUCUGAGAAACCAUUUCGCAAGAACUA